AUUGAACGCUGGCGGCAGGCUUAACACAUGCAAGUCGAGCGGAGAUGAGGUGCUUGCACCUUAUCUUAGCGGCGGACGGGUGAGUAAUGCUUAGGAAUCUGCCUAUUAGUGGGGGACAACAUUCCGAAAGGAAUGCUAAUACCGCAUACGUCCUACGGGAGAAAGCAGGGGAUUUUCGGACCUCUCGCUAACAUAUGAGCCUAAGUCGGAUUAGCUAGUUGGUGGGGUAAAGGCCUACCAAGGCGACGAUCUGUAGCGGGUCUGAGAGGAUGAUCCGCCACACUGGGACUGAGACACGGCCCAGACUCCUACGGGAGGCAGCAGUGGGGAAUAUUGGACAAUGGGGGAAACCCUGAUCCAGCCAUGCCGCGUGUGUGAAGAAGGCCUUAUGGUUGUAAAGCACUUUAAGCGAGGAGGAGGCUACUGAGACUAAUACUCUUGGAUAGUGGACGUUACUCGCAGAAUAAGCACCGGCUAACUCUGUGCCAGCAGCCGCGGUAA
rnacentral:rRNA from 1 species